AUUGAACGCUGGCGGCAGGCCUAACACAUGCAAGUCGAGCGAGCGGCGGACGGGUGAGUAAUGUCUGGGGAUCUGCCCGAUCGAGGGGGAUAAAUACUGGAAACGGUGGCUAAUACCGCAUACUAUCGGUUGAACCCAUAUGGGAUUAGCUAGUGGGGGGGGUAAAGGCUCAUCUAGGCGACGAUCGCUAGCUGGUCUGAGAGGAUGAACAGCCACACUGGGACUGAGACACGGCCCAGCCUCCUCCGGGAGGCAGCAGUGGGAAAUAUUGCACAAUGGGCGAAAGCCUGAUGCAGCAAGGCGGCGUGGGUGAAGAGGGCCUUAGGGUUGAAAAGUACUUUCAGCGGGGCGGCGUUACCCGCAGAGGAAGCACCGGCUAACUCCGUGCCAGCAGCCGCGGUAAUUC
rnacentral:rRNA from 1 species